rnacentral:rRNA from 1 species
CCGGCGCACGGGUGAGUAACACGUAUGCAACCUGCCUGCCACAGCCGGAUAAUCGGGAGAAAUUCCGUCUAAUACGGCAUAAUGCAUCGACGGGACAUCCUGUUGGUGCCAAAGGUUAAUUCCGGUGGCGGAUGGGCAUGCGUCGCAUUAGUUAGUUGGCGGUGUAACGGACCACCAAGACGACGAUGCGUAGGGGUUCUGAGAGGAAGGUCCCCCACACUGGUACUGAGACACGGACCAGACCCCUACGGGAGGCAGCAG